rnacentral:rRNA from 1 species
GAGUUUGAUCUUGGCUCAGAUUGAACGCUGGCGGCAUGCCUUACACAUGCAAGUCGAACGGUAACAGGUCUUCGGAUGCUGACGAGUGGCGAACGGGUGAGUAAUACAUCGGAACGUGCCCGAUCGUGGGGGAUAACGAAGCGAAAGCUUUGCUAAUACCGCAUACGAUCUACGGAUGAAAGCAGGGGACCGCAAGGCCUUGCGCGAACGGAGCGGCCGAUGGCAGAUUAGGUAGUUGGUGGGAUAAAAGCUUACCAAGCCGACGAUCUGUAGCUGGUCUGAGAGGACGACCAGCCACACUGGGACUGAGACACGGCCCAGACUCCUACGGGAGGCAGCAGUGGGGAAUUUUGGACAAUGGGCGAAAGCCUGAUCCAGCCAUGCCGCGUGCAGGAUGAA